GAUGAACGCUGGCGGCGUGCCUAAUACAUGCAAGUCGAGCGAACAGACGAGGAGCUUGCUCCUCUGACGUUAGCGGCGGACGGGUGAGUAACACGUGGAUAACCUACCUAUAAGACUGGGAUAACUUCGGGAAACCGGAGCUAAUACCGGAUAAUAUAUUGAACCGCAUGGUUCAAUAGUGAAAGACGGUUUUGCUGUCACUUAUAGAUGGAUCCGCGCCGCAUUAGCUAGUUGGUAAGGUAACGGCUUACCAAGGCAACGAUGCGUAGCCGACCUGAGAGGGUGAUCGGCCACACUGGAACUGAGACACGGUCCAGGCUCCUACGGGAGGCAGCAGUAGGGAAUCUUCCGCAAUGGGCGGAAGCCUGACGGAGCAACGCCGCGUGAGUGAUGAAGGUCUUCGGAUCGUAAAACUCUGUUAUUAGGGAAGAACAAAUGUGUAAGUAACUAUGCACGUCUUGACGGUACCUAAUCAGAAAGCCACGGCUAACUACGUG
rnacentral:rRNA from 1 species